UGGGGAAUAUUGGACAAUGGGCGCAAGCCUGAUCCAGCCAUGCCGCGUGAGUGACGAAGGUCUUCGGAUUGUAAAGCUCUUUUGGCGGGGACGAUAAUGACGGUACCCGCAGAAUAAGCCCCGGCUAACUUCGUGCCAGCAGCCGCGGUAAUACGAAGGGGGCUAGCGUUGUUCGGAAUCACUGGGCGUAAAGCGCACGUAGGCGGACGUGUCAGUCAGGGGUGAAAUCCCGGAGCUCAACUCCGGAACUGCCUCUGAUACAGCACGUCUUGAGUCCGGAAGAGGUGGGUGGAAUUCCUAGUGUAGAGGUGAAAUUCGUAGAUAUUAGGAAGAACACCGGUGGCGAAGGCGGCCCACUGGUCCGGUACUGACGCUGAGGUGCGAAAGCGUGGGGAGCAAACAGG
rnacentral:rRNA from 1 species